rnacentral:rRNA from 1 species
UACGGAGGGGGCUAGCGUUGUUCGGAAUUACUGGGCGUAAAGCGCACGUAGGCGGCUUUGUAAGUUAGAGGUGAAAGCCCAGGGCUUAACCCUGGAAUUGCCUUUAAGACUGCAUCGCUAGAAUCGUGGAGAGGUAAGUGGAAUUCCGAGUGUAGAGGUGAAAUUCGUAGAUAUUCGGAAGAACACCAGUGGCGAAGGCGACUUACUGGACACGUAUUGACGCUGAGGUGGCGAAAGCGUGGGGAGCAAACAGG